rnacentral:rRNA from 1 species
ACGCUGGCGGCGUGCCUAAUACAUGCAAGUUGAACGCAACAAAGACACCAGAGCUUGCUUCUACCGUUUUUGUUGAGUAGCGAACGGGUGAGUAACGCGUGGGUAACCUGCCUUAUAGCGGGGGAUAACUAUUGGAAACGAUAGCUAAUACCGCAUAACAAUAGAGAUUGCAUAAUCUUUAUUUGAAAGUGCCAACUGGUACACUAUGAGAUGGACCCGCGUUGUAUUAGCUAGUUGGUAGUGUAAUGGACUACCAAGGCGAUGAUACAUAGCCGACCUGAGAGGGUGAUCGGCCACAUUGGGACUGAGACACGGCCCAAACUCCUACGGGAGGCAGCAGUAGGGAAUCUUCGGCAAUGGACGAAAGUCUGACCGAGCAACGCCGCGUGAGUGAAGAAGGUUUUCGGAUCGUAAAACUCUGUUGUUAGAGAAGAAUGUUGAUUAGAGUGGAAAAUUAAUCAAGUGACGGUAUCUAACCAGAAAGGGACGGCUAACUACGUG